GACAGAGGGUGCAAACGUUGCUCGGAAUCACUGGGCGUAAAGGGCGUGUAGGCGGGAAGGAAAGUCAGAUGUGAAAUCCCUGGGCUCAACCCAGGAACUGCAUUUGAAACUCCCUUUCUUGAGUGUCGGAGAGGAAAGCGGAAUUCCUGGUGUAGAGGUGAAAUUCGUAGAUAUCAGGAGGAACACCGGUGGCGAAGGCGGCCUUCUGGACAGUGACUGACGCUGAGACGCGAAAGCGUGGGGAGCGAACAGG
rnacentral:rRNA from 1 species